rnacentral:rRNA from 2 species
CUGGUGUCAGCCGCCGCGGUAAUACCAGCACCCCGAGUGGUCGGGACGAUUAUUGGGCCUAAAGCAUCCGUAGCCGGCCCUGCAAGUCUUCCGUUAAAUCCAUCCGCUCAACGGAUGGGCCGCGGGAGAUACUACAGGGCUAGGAGGCGGGAGAGGCAAGCGGUACUCAGUGGGUAGGGGUAAAAUCCUCUGAUCCACUGAAGACCACCAGUGGCGAAGGCGGCUUGCCAGAACGCGCUCGACGGUGAGGGAUGAAAGCUGGGGGAGCAAACCGGAUUAGAUACCCGGGUAGUCCCAGCUGUAAACGAUGCAGACUCGGUGAUGGGCUGGCCUAGUGCUAGCCCAGUGCCGCAGGGAAGCCGUUAAGUCUGCCGCCUGGGGAGUACGGUCGCAAGACUGAAACUUAAAG